UUACAGCUCUGACCCAGGAAGUCCCAGGGUCUUGCCUUCCAGAAGGGUCGCGGCUCUUCCCUCCCUCAGUCCAACGAACAGGAGCACGUCACCUCCCGCAGCUCGGGGAGCUGGCCAGGAACGUGUUACAGCCCGUUUCGCUCCUGUCCGCAGCUGGGUGAGGCAGCCAGGAAAAUAUUACAGCUCUUCUCACGCCCGCCAUUCAGCAGGUCCUGACUUCUUGUGUGACAUCCAGAAGAAAGGGGUUACACAGACAGCUGGAGGGUGAGCAAAGUGGAGAAGUUCUCAGCAGAGAGGAGACUGGAGUGAGUUGCCCCUACCCGCAGGUGCCAACUGUAAUACAUCAGUAGCUGAACAGCUCAUUGCCCUCAAGUGUUCUUGCUCAUGCCUGGCUGAGUUAUUGAAGAAAUUGCUCAGAUCUCAAGCCCUUGUAGAUCACUGGUCCUGGCAGAUGUUCUAUCAGGCCACGAUCAAGCAGAAGGCAG
rnacentral:lncRNA from 1 species